UGGGGAAUAUUGGACAAUGGGCGAAAGCCUGAUCCAGCAAUGCCGCGUGAGUGAUGAAGGCCUUAGGGUUGUAAAGCUCUUUUGGCGGGGACGAUAAUGACGGUACCCGCAGAAUAAGCUCCGGCUAACUUCGUG
rnacentral:rRNA from 1 species